AGAACAUCUUGAGUGACAGAGGUUGCGGGUGGAGAAACCACUUCAGCAGCUGAACAGAUCUCUGCAGAAAUAACUGUUCUGACUAGAAAAAGUGACUACUGGGAGCGCUAUCAAGGCUUAAAGAGGAUAGAUGACUAAAGUGAGGAAGUAAACAGUAUGUUUUUUCCAGUACUAUUAGUCACAGUAAAUACAGCACAAGCUUCUCCACUUCUGUUGAGAACAUCCCUUCUUCCUAGUUGCUAGAUCUUGUUGAGAAAAUUGCAGUAAAAUUAUUUGGUACACCAAUACAAAAAAACUGUACUGUAUGGAGUCAUUCCUCCUUGAAGAGUUGUGGUUAAACAAGGAGAACUUCGGAGAAGCUCAGUUUUCCAUCUGGACCUCAUGGGAGACUAAGGUUGGGGUGACACAACUGGAAAUGGCGAGACAAGGACAAAGAUAAGAGAAAGAGCAGAAGAUGACCACCAAACAUAUGGAAAUGAGAGCAGAGUGAAAUGGAAAGAAGGAGGCACAGAAAUUCCAAAUCUUACUUUAUUGUAGAGAAUGUAUAAAAAUAGAUCGAGCUCCACAUUUUCAGUUAAGAAGAGAAGUGGAAAAUAAAAGCUUUCAGGCUUCAUUGCAUAGAGGGUAAUGAGAUUGUUCUCCACCCUGUAAGUGCCAUAGGGUAAUGCCAAAAGACGAUCACCACAGAAACAAUAAUGACAUGCAAUAUCUACAUAAAGACAGGUGCUGUGGGUCCGAAAUACUGGAAAAUUAUGACAGUAUCACC